GGGGAGUUUUUUGGUUUGGGUCAAGUUGACCACGUCUAUAUACAAUUUUGUAUAUGAUUUUGAUGGAAUGGAAUCAGAAUAGAAGUCUUUUUUCUUUAAUUGCUCUCUCUUUCUCUCUCUCCCUCUCAUGUUUCUCUUCUCCUCUUUCUCAUGCUUAGGAUUCUUUCAGGCUUGACCUAAUCCAUCAUCAAGAUUUUUCUUCCAUGCUUGCUGCUGCUUCCAUGAUCUAUGAUCAACAAGAGAAGAUCCGAUCAUAUCAACACAAGCUUAAAAUAUGUUUUGAGUUCUAUUACGACUCCAAUAUACAUAAAACUAAGCUUUGAACCCUUUAAAAUGUGGUAGACGGCAGAGCAUC
rnacentral:lncRNA from 1 species